rnacentral:lncRNA from 1 species
GGGUGCAGCUGGCUGGGUCAUCAAAUUAACAUGAGAAGGGAAUCGUUUUCAGCAGGGAAGUAGGAGAUUUGGGGAGGGUGCUUGGAAGAUAGAAUCAGCAUGCUAUUGCCACCCCCCACCCCAAAUAACCAAAAGGCAAGGAGUACAGACAUAGAAAUGGGAAGUGAAAUGUUGGUAUAGACUGUGAUUAAGCCUGCUGUUGGUAUGAAGUGCUGUCUCACUAAAUAAAGCAGAGUGGAUGGUGGCUGCAUCCCUGGAUCUGCCGGUGUGAAGUAAAACCAGGUCAGCUGGCCUGACACCCACUGUCCAUAUCACUGAAGGUCCUGCUCCAAGAAGGGGGAUGGAGAGUCUUCCACAGCCCGGAAAGCAUCAGGUUUCUUUGUGUUGCACUUCUCAGAAGGAAAUUGUUUCUGUUUAUUGCUUAAGUCAACAAGUAUUUGUCUCCCUUUGAUAUAAAUGCUGUGGGGGAAGUGGUUACAAGAAAAAAAAAUCUGGUCCUGGAAUUAUAGCCAUCUGCUCUCCACAGUCCUCCAAGACUGUCAGUAUCUCUCUUUACUCUGAGCUGUGGUCUUCUAGGGACCAAGUUCCAGAAGAAUAGCACCUAAAAAGUAUUUCAUGUCCAUCAGCCUUCCCCGGAGAUCCAUGGAAAGACCACCUCUCUCAGGUUCUACCAGGUGCCCAAGCACUUGUCACAUGCAGACAUGUAUGUGCAGUGUACAUGCACAUAUAUGUGCAAAAACCACAACAGUAUGCAUGUGGGUACCCAGGGUUCUCUCCACAUGAGAACCCACGAGAGCCCACGUCAGCUCAUGAGCCACAUACACAAGGAAACAGACCUUCUUCCUCUCUGUCAAGUCCGAAGAUGCCAGCUGAGACGUUCUUCAUCCAGUUUAGGGGUGGACCUGAUGUCCCUGAGUGUAUGUGGUGAACCUGAAUUUGCCUUGGGUUUCCUCAUAUUCAUUCAGGAGUGUCAGUUGCCCCUUCACGCGACGUUGGAGAGCAUUACAGCAAGCAGGUGUCUACUCAUUUAUGGCAAGAAUGAAGUCCGACUUUUAUCUUCAUCACCUUGGAUGAGCCCUGGUGCUUGCCCUGUUUCUCAAAAGAAACCUAAGGGCAGGGGCAGAACUGGUUAUAGAAUUCAUGGAACCUGGCACAAAAUGAACACGUAGGGCCCCUUGUUCAAAAAGCAGGAAGAAAGUGCCUAAAUAUAAUGCCUUUGUCUUUCUUCCACAAUCUCUCUCUAGAAUCGUCAUGGUGGUUUUUUAUUUGCUGUUUUUCAUGUGGUGCUAAAUAAAAAUAAAAAUUUUAAAUUUUUAGC